rnacentral:piRNA from 1 species
UNGACCUAAUGGCCAGUUACCAUAUGACACU